rnacentral:misc_RNA from 1 species
GAUGAAGAACGCAGCGAAAUGCGAUAAGUAAUGUGAAUUGCAGAAUUCAGUGAAUCAUCGAAUCUUUGAACGCACAUUGCGCCCGCCAGUAUUCUGGCGGGCAUGCCUGUUCGAGCGUCAUUUCAACCAUCAAGCCCCCCGGCUUGUGUUGGGGACCUGCGGCUGCCGCAGGCCCUGAAAAGCAGUGGCGGGCUCGCUGUCACACCGAGCGUAGUAGAUCUCAUCUCGCUCAGGGCGUGCUGCGGGUUCCGGCCGUUAAACCACCUUCAUAACCCAAGGUUGACCUCGGAUCAGGUAGGAAGACCCGCUGAACUUAAGCAUAUCAUAAGCGGAGGA